AGUGCAGUUCAGCACCUUUUCAGAUUCCUGUUGGCCAUUUGUGGAGUCUCACUCUGUAGCCCAAGCUGGAGUGGCGUGAUCUCGACUCACUGCAACCUCCGCCUCCUGGGAUCAAGUGAUUCUCGUGCCUCAGCCUCCUGAGUAGCCGGGACUACAGCUCAGCAAGGCCCACAUUUUCCCGGUGAAGCCACAGAACCACAGGGAGAAACCCAUGGACUUCGCCUCUCUCUCUAGGGGACCAGAUGUGCAGAGGUAAUGAAUACCAGGGAAUCAGGAAACCACUGGAUCAGUUCUUUGAGCCACAGAACAACACUCAUCCCAGCAGCUGGGAAGCUAUCUGCAAAAGUCCAUCUGCAGAAAGGGCUUCCUGGUCUUGCGUGUGGCUGGGCCAUUUCUCUGGAUGCAGGUUUUUCAUUAUACAGUCUUCUCAAAGAACCACCUGCUCUCAACACC
rnacentral:lncRNA from 1 species